UACACAUGCAGUCGAGCGGAUGACGGGAGCUUGCUCCUUGAUUCAGCGGCGGACGGGUGAGUAAUGCCUAGGAAUCUGCCUGGUAGUGGGGGACAACGUUUCGAAAGGAACGCUAAUACCGCAUACGUCCUACGGGAGAAAGCAGGGGACCUUCGGGCCUUGCGCUAUCAGAUGAGCCUAGGUCGGAUUAGCUAGUUGGUGGGGUAAUGGCUCACCAAGGCGACGAUCCGUAACUGGUCUGAGAGGAUGAUCAGUCACACUGGAACUGAGACACGGUCCAGACUCCUACGGGAGGCAGCAGUGGGGAAUAUUGGACAAUGGGCGAAAGCCUGAUCCAGCCAUGCCGCGUGUGUGAAGAAGGUCUUCGGAUUGUAAAGCACUUUAAGUUGGGAGGAAGGGCAGUAAGUUAAUACCUUGCUGUUUUGACGUUACCGACAGAAUAAGCACCGGCUAACUCUGUGCCAGCAGCCGCGGUAAUACAGAGGGUGCAAGCGUUAAUCGGAAUUACUGGGCGUAAAGCGCGCGUAGGUGGUUCGUUAAGUUGGAUGUGAAAGCCCCGGGCUCAACCU
rnacentral:rRNA from 2 species